ACAUAAUAUGGUUACACCACCUACCUGAUUCAAUUUGCGCGGGAAAAUUCAUAAAUAUUCAAAUUAUCAACAUAAAAAACUAGCGUUGGCCAGAAGACGAAGUCGAAUCAUUCUAAUUUUCGAAAAAGAAUUCGUAUACAAUGUGGACCAACAGGUUUCGUUCGAAAAUUUACUUUCUGACGCUUGAGCUCCAAAAACAAGAAAUCUUCAUCGAAAACUGUGAUAAUAUUGUCCGGAAAUUUUAGGAAUUGUUGAACACGUAAAACUUCCAUCGACAAAAUGAUUCUCUGAGUCGUCCAACAUCCUAGACAUGGUCUUAUUACAUUAUGUUAAUUCAGUCACAAAUUACUCUGUGGGACUGAUGAAUAUUUAUUCAAUUAGUGGUCAUUGGUUCUGGUGAAUUUAAUCUGGUUUCUGUUGAUGUACUUUGAUCUCUUCUAUCCGGGACGUAGAAUUGAUUUGAAAAGAAGAUCGUGAUGUAGGUGGAACAGAUGGUAGGAAAAAUUUCACAUGUAAAAAGGCAGUUGAAGCAAUUCACGAUAUCCAGUUGAGGAUAGGAAGGAAAAACUUGCCAUAUAAAAGUAUGGAGCUGUUUCUCCUCAAUUCCAAAUUGAAUGAUCUGAAAGUAUGUGGUUUCUUUCCUUUAGACUGGACCCUCAUAUAUUCCAUGGUGGCCGGCAUAUCUACUUACAUAGUGUAUUUGAUUCAAUUCAGGGAGGUAGAAAUGCAGAAAAAUGGUGUUUCGAACUAAAGUAGACCAUUCAAGCUAUAGUUGGAUGUUAGUUCUAUGCAAACUUAUUAGUCUUAAGCAGUAGGUUUGUACAGGAAAUUAGAAAAAUAAAUU